rnacentral:tRNA from 1 species
AUCGGAGUGGCUGAUCGAGCCGGUUUCGAAAACCGGUGUGCCCUUUGCGGGUACCGCGGGUUCGAAUCCCGC